ensembl:snoRNA U3 Small nucleolar RNA U3
AAGACUAUACUUUCCAGGAUCAUUCCUGUAGUCUGUUACUAAGUGCUUGGGUUUAACACACAUUAACAGCAUGAUCCCAAUAACCACAGCAUGUAAGCAGCUCUGGGG